CGCGAGCUGGUUCUUAAAACUUUGCUCAGAAGUGAAACACUUCGGAGAGUUCUCGUCAAGAUGGCGCUGUGAGCAGACGUUGAACUCGCCUCCUCCCACGAACACAACCAGGUUACAACAAUUUUGGGAAGAAUCACCCUGGAUUGAAAACUGAAAACUGGAUAAAAAGAACCCCCACGACAAGGGACAGUCCUGACGAAAGCAGAAGAGGCAGUACCUCCGGCCGGAGAGGAAAAAAGCCACCUUUGGGAGCAGUGGAGCUUCUCAACUGGCCAGGCAGGAGCCAACCUAAGAUUCUGCAAGUUUUGAGAAAUGUAUGAUGACAUGUAUCCACCAUAACUUAAACAACAGAAAUUUAUUUUCUCAUUGUUCUGGAGGCUGGAAGUCUGAGGUCAGGGUGCCAGCACAGUCAGCUUCUGUCACAAUUACAUCUUCUAUACUGAUCCCUGGAAUAUUCACAAUUGGAACCCCGAGCCACUAUGUUAGAAGUCUUACUACUCUGAGGCUGCCAUACAGUGAGGAAGCAAAGCCACAUAAAAAUGCUACAUGCAGGUCUUCCGAAGAGCAGUCCUCAAGUUCCUGUUAUCCCAGCCUAGCGUCAGACAUGGAAGUGAAUGAGCUUCAGAUGGUUCCAACUCCAGCCAUCAAGUGUCUUAGAGGCUUUCUGUUUGAAAGUUCAGCUGCCAUGGAGCAAAAAAAGCAUAUACUCCCACUCGGCCCUGAGUUCCUGACCCACAGGAUCUAAUGUCUAGUACAGUGCAUGGCACAUGAUAGAAGAAAAGUGUAUUAUUGAAGUGGAGAAGUUAUAGCAGAAAGGUUAAUAACCGUUAGCAUCAUCAAUUUAAUAACCAUUGGCACCAGCAUCCUGAUGUCUGGAAGAAACCAUCUAUCCUACAGUUAAAUGACUUCCUGGAAAUCAUACCUGUGUCAUCUUGGACAAGUUACUUAAUGUCUCUGAGACUCAGCUUCUUCAUCUAAAAAGAAAAUAAUGCUGAUUAUACUACAACCCACCUUCAAAGGGUAAUUAGGAUUAAAUGAGAUAAAGCAUGAAAAAGAUUUAGCAAAUUUCCCAGCACAGAGUAAGCACUAUAAACAUUAACUAUCACAUUUGAGUGAACAAGAACAUCCUGAACAAACUCAGAGUGAUGCCACUCCCUUGAAGCCACACAGAGUUCCAUCACAGUGCUAUACACAGAAGCAGCAAGUUGGCUGUCCUGUGAAGACACAAUUUCCUGAUGGCCCAUACCCACCACAUUCACGGCACUCAUGAGGAAUUGUUUACUUCUCUGUUUCUUUGAUGACUGAUGUUCGUAAUCAAAGAGACCCAGAAUAAAUCAUUGCAGCUACUCCUACAAAAGUCAAGAGUAUCCACACCACAUCUGACUACUUGGUGAAAAAUAGCCACAGAAGACGAAUAAGUUUCCUAUCAGUGAAAGGGG
rnacentral:lncRNA from 1 species